AGGAUGAUAAAGGGAAGAAUUUGAGCAUAAUUGGAAGUCGAAGCUGCCGAAACAAGCUAAGUACGAUCAUGAGGAAGCUGAACAUGGCCGUGUUGGUUUCAACACUGGCCGUGUUCCCAACACGGUCGUGUUGGGUGUCAUCAAACAUAAAAGAAAAAUAAGUUCUUAGGGAGCACGACCAUAGAGAGUAACACAGCCAGGAACACCAAACCGUGUUCCCAACACGGCCGAGGUGGCGGCG
rnacentral:lncRNA from 1 species